rnacentral:rRNA from 1 species
AACGAACGCUGGCGGCAGGCCUCAUACAUGCAAGUCGAGCGGACGGACCCCUUCGGGGGCGAGUUAGCGGCGAACGGGUGAGUAACAGGUGGAUGAUCUGCCUCCCGGUGGGGGAUAACGGCUGGAAACGGCCGCUAAUACCGCAUUCGGUUGAUGCGUUGCGGCGCAUCAAAGAAAGGCGCUUCACGGCGCUGCCGGGAGAUGAGUCCGCCCCCCAUUAGCUAGUUGGCGGGAUAACAGCCCACCAAGGCUUCGAUGGGUAGCCGAACUGAGAGGUUGAUCGGCCACACUGGAACUGAGACACGGUCCAGACACCUACGGGUGGCAGCAGUAGGGAAUAUUGGGCAAUGGGCGAAAGCCUGACCCAGCCAUGCCGCGUGAGUGACGAAGGUCCUAUGGAUUGUAAAGCUCUUUUCUGAGGAAAGAACAUCCGGGGUAGGAAAUGACCCCGGCUUGACGGUACCUCAGGAAUAAGGAACGGCUAACUCCGUGCCAGCAGCCGCGGUAAU